UCUCAGUGAGGGGACAUUCCCGAGUCUUACUUUCUACCCUCAACCCAGUUCAACUGGCAAGGUGAACACAUUUGAUCUGGCUUGGGGAGAAGAAGAAAGUUUAUCCCAGAAGGAAUUGUUUUGGGAU